rnacentral:lncRNA from 10 species
UGCCGGGCCCUCUUCCCCGACCCCUGGGGCGCUCCGACAAGGAAGAGCCGUCCAGCGCGCGUCCGUCCUGAGCGUGGGUGAGGCCUGGAGGAGGCGCGCGCGCUAGGCAGGGCCGCACAGCGCGGGCAGAGUGCGGGAUGCGGGCACCCGGUGGGUACGCAGUAAACAUUUGCUGAAGGAAUGUGACCCUUGGGACAGUUCCGAUGACUCCAGUUGCAUAAAUGCCCAGUCUACACGGGGACUCCCUGGCCGGUAGAGCCGCACCUCUGAAUGAGGAGUCUUUUGCUGCCCCGCUUGAGAUGCGCGUCUUCAUUCAUUCCCCUCUCCCCCUAUCCUCCUCGUCUCCUCCAGGCCUAGAACCAAUUACAGAGUCAAACCCAAGAGCCGAAGAAAGUGAAGACUCGCAGCUUGCCGCAGCCCCCUCCUCGGCCUGCGCACCUCCCAUUGAGGGCGUCCUGAUUUAAACGCGUGCCUCCUGCAUUUCUGCUUCUGCCCCAGGCUAGAGCGGCGACCAGGAACGCUGGACCCACAGAGAUCUGUGGCAAUAGGAGUUGGUGAACAGCAGGAUGGAUGGGAUGUCAGUCAGCUGUGCCCCUGGCUACCCCUGUGCUUGAACAGUGGACUGUGAGUGGCGGCGUCAUGCAGAAGGAGCACAGGGUCCCAGGCCAGCAUCACUAUCCAGGAGCUUCAGGCAUGCUCCGUGUACCAACAUGGGAUCACGAAUCACAUCGCCUCAGGCCAAGAAAGCCAUUUUAUAGCGAAAGAGGUAUGGUAGUGUGUGG